GGGGGGGGGGGGGGGGGGGGGGGGGGGGGGGGGGGGGGGGGGCUCUGACAGCUCGAGUCCGCAGGCCGUGCCUGCCCAUGGCCGGCACGGACCGAUUUGCUUUUGUGCCAGCCCAACACAAAAGAGUAGACAGUACCCGGAGAUGAAACAGAUUUCCAGUUCUGCACAUUUACAAAUUCCAUUUGCACCCUCGUUUGGGAUAAUGCUGUGGUAAGUUAAAAAAAAAGCACAUUUUUUAGCAUUCUUUCUGUAUUUUGGAAUCAGGUUCUGAUGCAAAAC
rnacentral:lncRNA from 12 species